rnacentral:rRNA from 1 species
GACGAACGCUGGCGGCGUGCUUAACACAUGCAAGUCGAACGGAAAGGCCCUGCUCUUGUGGGGUGCUCGAGUGGCGAACGGGUGAGUAACACGUGAGUAACCUGCCCUUGUCUUUGGGAUAACUUCAGGAAACUGGGGCUAAUACCGGAUAUGAGCUCCUGCUGCAUGGUGGGGGUUGGAAAGUUUCGGCGGUUGGGGAUGGACUCGCGGCUUAUCAGCUUGUUGGUGGGGUAGUGGCUUACCAAGGCUUUGACGGGUAGCCGGCCUGAGAGGGUGACCGGCCACAUUGGGACUGGGAUACGGCCCAGACUGCUACGGGAGGCAGCAGUGAGAAAUAUUGCACGAUGGGCGGAAGCCUGAUGCAGCAACUCCGCGUGCGGGAUGACGGCCUUCGGGUUGUAACCCGCUUUCGCCUGUGACGAAGCGUGAGUGACGGUAAUGGGUAAAGAAGCACCGGCUAACUACGUG